AGUGAACGCUGGCGGUAGGCCUAACACAUGCAGGUCGAACGGCAGCACAGUAAGAGCUUGCUCUUACGGGUGGCGAGUGGCGGACGGGUGAGGAAUACAUCGGAAUCUACUUUUUCGUGGGGGAUAACGUAGGGAAACUUACGCUAAUACCGCAUACGACCUACGGGUGAAAGCAGGGGAUCUUCGGACCUUGCGCGAUUGAAUGAGCCGAUGUCGGAUUAGCUAGUUGGCGGGGUAAAGGCCCACCAAGGCGACGAUCCGUAGCUGGUCUGAGAGGAUGAUCAGCCACACUGGAACUGAGACACGGUCCAGACUCCUACGGGAGGCAGCAGUGGGGAAUAUUGGACAAUGGGCGAAAGCCUGAUCCAGCCAUGCCGCGUGGGUGAAGAAGGCCUUCGGGUUGUAAAGCCCUUUUGUUGGGAAAGAAAAGCAGCAGGUUAAUACCCCGCUGUUCUGACGGUACCCAAAGAAUAAGCACCGGCUAACUUCGUG
rnacentral:rRNA from 1 species